GUGGGCGCUGGAGAACUGAGGGGGGCUGCUCCUAGUACGAGAGGACCGGAGUGGACGCAUCACUGGUGUUCGGGUUGUCAUGCCAAUGGCACUGCCCGGUAGCUAAAUGCGGAAGAGAUAAGUGCUGAAAGCAUCUAAGCACGAAACUUGCCCCGAGAUGAGUUCUCCCUGAGACUUAGAGUCUCCUGAAGGAACGUUGAAGACGACGACGUUGAUAGGCCGGGUGUGUAAGCGCAGCGAUGCGUUGAGCUAACCGGUACUAAUGAACCGUGAGGCUUAACCUU
rnacentral:rRNA from 2 species